GGAUUCCGAACAAAUCUUGAGGGGCCCAUAGUGACUUAGAAUGAUCCAAAAUACCCAGCUGGUGCACCAGAUGGGGUAUCAUAGUUUAUUUGCAUUCACAAGACUUUGGACAAAUCUUGAGGGGCCCACAGUGACUUAGAAUAAUCCAAAAUCCCCAGUUAUGCACCAGCUAUCUAGUGCACCCACGAUCACAAAAUGGUGUCACAAUCAUGAUAGGG
rnacentral:lncRNA from 1 species